UACGAAGGGGGGCUAGCGUUGCUCGGAAUUACUGGGCGUAAAGCGCACGUAGGCGGGUCGCUAAGUCGGGGGUGAAAUCCUGGAGCUCAACUCCAGAACUGCCUUCGAAACUGACGAUCUUGAGUUCGGGAGAGGUGAGUGGAACUGCGAGUGUAGAGGUGAAAUUCGUAGAUAUUAGCUAGAACACCAGUGGCGAAGGCGGCCAACUGGUCCGGAACGUGACAGCUGAGGUGCGAAA
rnacentral:rRNA from 1 species